rnacentral:rRNA from 1 species
UACGUAGGUGGCAAGCGUUGUCCGGAUUUACUGGGCGUAAAGGGAGCGUAGGUGGAUAUUUAAGUGGGAUGUGAAAUACUCGGGCUUAACCUGGGUGCUGCAUUCCAAACUGGAUAUCUAGAGUGCAGGAGAGGAAAGGAGAAUUCCUAGUGUAGCGGUGAAAUGCGUAGGGAUUAGGAAGAAUACCAGUGGCGAAGGCGGCUUUCUGGACUGUAACUGACGCUGAGGCUCGAAAGCCAGGGGAGCGAACGGG